rnacentral:tRNA from 1 species
UCUAUUUAGGCGGUAAUCGCGUAAAGUUUAGGAUUUUAAGGAGACAGGUGUCAGAUAGAU